rnacentral:rRNA from 1 species
GGAAGUAAAAGUCGUAACAAGGUUUCCGUAGGUGAACCUGCGGAAGGAUCAUUACCGAGUGAGGGCCCUUUGGGUCCAACCUCCCACCCGUGUUUAUUUUACCUUGUUGCUUCGGCGGGCCCGCCUUUACUGGCCGCCGGGGGGCUUCACGCCCCCGGGCCCGCGCCCGCCGAAGACACCCUCGAACUCUGUCUGAAGAUUGAAGUCUGAGUGAAAAUAUAAAUUAUUUAAAACUUUCAACAACGGAUCUCUUGGUUCCGGCAUCGAUGAAGAACGCAGCGAAAUGCGAUACGUAAUGUGAAUUGCAAAUUCAGUGAAUCAUCGAGUCUUUGAACGCACAUUGCGCCCCCUGGUAUUCCGGGGGGCAUGCCUGUCCGAGCGUCAUUGCUGCCCUCAAGCCCGGCUUGUGUGUUGGGCCCCGUCCUCCGAUUCCGGGGGACGGGCCCGAAAGGCAGCGGCGGCACCGCGUCCGGUCCUCGAGCGUAUGGGGCUUUGUCACCCGCUCCGUAGGCCCGGCCGGCGCUUGCCGAUCAACCCAAAUUUUUAUCCAGGUUGACCUCGGAUCAGGUAGGGAUACCCGCUGAACUUAAGCAUAUCAAUAAGCGGAGGA